GACGAACGCUGGCGGCGUGCUUAACACAUGCAAGUCGAACGGAAAGGCCCUGCUUUUGUGGGGUGCUCGAGUGGCGAACGGGUGAGUAACACGUGAGUAACCUGCCCUUGACUUUGGGAUAACUUCAGGAAACUGGGGCUAAUACCGGAUAGGAGCUCCUGCUGCAUGGUGGGGGUUGGAAAGUUUCGGCGGUUGGGGAUGGACUCGCGGCUUAUCAGCCUGUUGGUGGGGUAGUGGCUUACCAAGGCUUUGACGGGUAGCCGGCCUGAGAGGGUGACCGGCCACAUUGGGACUGAGAUACGGCCCAGACUCCUACGGGAGGCAGCAGUGGGGAAUAUUGCACAAUGGGCGGAAGCCUGAUGCAGCAACGCCGCGUGCGGGAUGACGGCCUUCGGGUAGUAAACCGCUUUCGCCUGUGACGAAGCGUGAGUGACGGUAAUGGGUAAAGAAGCACCGGCUAACUACGU
rnacentral:rRNA from 1 species